rnacentral:rRNA from 1 species
GAAAGUAAGAAAGGGCGCAUGGCGGAUGCCUUGGCUCUCGGAGGCGAAGAAGGACGUGAUAAGCUGCGAUAAGCUUCGGGUAGGUGCAAAUAACCCUUGAUCCGAAGAUUUCCGAAUGGGACAACCCAGCUGUCUGAAGGACAGUUAUCUACAUAAUUUGUAGAGGCGAACGCAGGGAACUGAAACAUCUUAGUACCUGUAGGAAGAGAAAAUAAAUAAUGAUUUCCCUAGUAGUGGCGAGCGAACGGGAAAGAGCCCAAACCUGACAUGUAGCAAUGCAUGUGAGGGGUUGUAGGACCGCGUUAUCGUACGAUGCGAGUGAGCAGAAGAGUCUGGAAAGUCUCACCAUAGCGGGUGACAGUCCCGUAAGCGAAGCUUAAGUCGACGUAGCGGUAUCCUGAGUAACGCGGAACACGAGGAAUUCUGCGCGAAUCUGCCGGGACCAUCCGGUAAGGCUAAAUACUCCCGAGAGACCGAUAGCGAACCAGUACUGUGAAGGAAAGGUGAAAAGCACCCCGAGUAGGGGAGUGAAAGAGAUCCUGAACCCAUGCGCCUACAAGCGGUCGGAGCACGCUUAGCGUGUGACGGCGUGCCUUUUGCAUAAUGAACCUACGAGUUACCGUCGCGUGCAAGGAUAAGUGGUUCAGCCACGCAUCCGUAGUGAAAGCGAGCCUGAAAAGGGCGUCAAGUACGCGGUGGUAGACGCGAAACCAAGUGAUCUACACUUAGCCAGGUUGAAGUCCCGGUAACACGGGAUGGAGGACCGAACCAAUAAGCGUUGAAAAGCUUCUGGAUGAGCCGAGUGUAGGAGUGAAAGGCCAAUCAAACUUGGAGAUAGCUCGUACUCCCCGAAAGGCAUUUAGGUGCCGCGUCGGAUGUUUAGCGUGAGAGGUAGAGCGACCGAUAGGUCAAGAGGGCUUCACCGCCUAUCGAGACCUGACGAACUCCGAAUGCUCACGUUUAGAAGUCCGGCAGUAAGGGGGCGGGUGCUAAGGUCCGUCCCCGAGAGGAGAAGAAUCCAGACCGUCGUCUAAGGUCCCGGAAUUCUGCCUGAGUUAGUCUAACGAAGUCUGGUCCCCGCGACAGCUAGGAUGUUGGCUUGGAAGCAGCCAUUCAUUUAAAGAGUGCGUAACAGCUCACUAGUCGAGGGUCCGGGCAUGGAUAAUAAUCGGGUAUAAGGCAGAUACCGAAGGCACGGGAUAGCAAAUAAUAAAAGUAUCGGUAGGGGAGCAUUCCAUGUGCGCAGAAUGGUGAAGGUGACUGAUCCUGGAGCGCAUGGAAAAGCAAAUGUAGGUAUAAGUAACGAUAAAAAGGGUGAGAUUCCCUUUCGCUGUAAGACUAAGGUUUCCCGGGCAAUGUCAAUCAGCCCGGGGUCAGUCGGGUCCUAAGCCUCAGCCGAACGGCGAGGGCGAUGGCAGAUACGGUUAAUAUUCCGUAACUACCUUAAGGAGCGAUGUGGAGACGGAGUCGUGAAACUUCCGCGGACCGACGGAAUGGUCCGUUAAAGAGUGUAGAUAUUGAUGAUUGUAGGCAAAUCCGCAAUCAGAGUCGAACUUGAAAGUACAGGCAUCUCUUCGGAGACGCUUGAUAGAGAAGGUAAGCAUACUCCCGAGAAAAUCCGCUAAGCAUAUUUUUAAGGUACCCGUACCGCAAACGGACACACGUAGUCGAGUAGAACAUACUAAGGCGUUGAGAGAUUCAUGGUUAAGGAACUAGGCAAACUGACCCCGUAACUUCGGGAUAAGGGGUCCUCGUCGUAAGGCGAGGCGCAGAGAAUAGGUCCAGGCAACUGUUUAACAAAAACACAGGGCUGUGCGAACUCGAAAGAUGAAGUAUACAGCCUGACACCUGCCCGGUGCCGGAAGGUUAAGAGGAGAUGUCACCGCAAGGGAAGCAUUGAAUUGAAGCCCCGGUAAACGGCGGCCGUAACUAUAACGGUCCUAAGGUAGCGAAAUUCCUUGUCGGGUAAGUUCCGACCUGCACGAAUGGUGUAAUGAUCCGGACGCUGUCUCAACC